GCAGUCGAACGAGAAAGGCCGCUUCGGGCCUGAGUACAGUGGCGCACGGGUGAGUAACACGUGGAUAAUCUACCCGAUGGACCGGGAUAACACUUCGAAAGGGGUGCUAAUACCGGAUAAACCCACAAGCUCUUAGGAGCCCGCGGGAAGAGGGGGACUGCUUCGGGACUACCGCCCUCGGAUGAGUCCGCGGCCCAUUAGCUAGUUGGUGGGGGAAUGGCCUACCAAGGCAGCCAGGGAUGGCGGGCCGGAGAGGAGGAACUGCCACACUGGACCUAAUCCUCCGGCAGGACUCCUAGGGGAGGAUUGAGCGGGGAAUUAAACCCAGUGGGCGAAACCCCGACGGAGCGACGCCGGGUGAGUGAUGAAAGACCCCGGGCCGGAAAG
rnacentral:rRNA from 1 species